rnacentral:rRNA from 1 species
AACGAACGCUGGCGGCAGGCCUAACACAUGCAAGUCGAGCGAACCCUUCGGGGUUAGCGGCGGACGGGUUAGUAACGCGUGGGAAUAUACCCUUUGGUACGGAAUAGCCUCGGGAAACUGAGAGUAAUACCGUAUGUGCCCUUCGGGGGAAAGAUUUAUCGCCAAAGGAUUAGCCCGCGUUGGAUUAGAUAGUUGGUGGGGUAAUGGCCUACCAAGUCUACGAUCCAUAGCUGGUUUGAGAGGAUGAUCAGCAACACUGGGACUGAGACACGGCCCAGACUCCUACGGGAGGCAGCAGUGGGGAAUCUUAGACAAUGGGCGCAAGCCUGAUCUAGCCAUGCCGCGUGGACGAUGAAGGCCUUAGGGUUGUAAAGCACUUUCAGUAGGGAGGAAACAGUAGCCGGUUAAUAUCCGGUUGCCUUGACGUUACCUACAGAAGAAGCACCGGCUAACUCUGUGCCAGCAGCCGCGGUAAUGUAGACGU